ACCACGGUGUUGCCUUAGUACGGCGAGUGAGCGGCAAAAGCUCAAAUUUGAAAUCUGGCACCUUCGGUGUCCGAGUUGUAAUUUGAAGAAGGUAACUUUGGAGUUGGCUCUUGUCUAUGUUCCUUGGAACAGGACGUCACAGAGGGUGAGAAUCCCGUGCGAUGAGAUGCCCAAUUCUAUGUAAAGUGCUUUCGAAGAGUCGAGUUGUUUGGGAAUGCAGCUCUAAGUGGGUGGUAAAUUCCAUCUAAAGCUAAAUAUUGGCGAGAGACCGAUAGCGAACAAGUACAGUGAUGGAAAGAUGAAAAGAACUUUGAAAAGAGAGUGAAAAAGUACGUGAAAUUGUUGAAAGGGAAGGGCUUGAGAUCAGACUUGGUAUUUUGCGAUCCUUUCCUUCUUGGUUGGGUUCCUCGCAGCUUACUGGGCCAGCAUCGGUUUGGAUGGUAGGAUAAUGACUAAGGAAUGUGGCUCUACUUCGGUGGAGUGUUAUAGCCUUGGUUGAUACUGCCUGUCUAGACCGAGGACUGCGUCUUUUGACUAGGAUGUUGGCAUAAUGAUCUUAAGCCACCCGUCUUGAAACAACGGGACCAAA
rnacentral:rRNA from 1 species